AAGAGACAGCAGCAGCCACGGUAAGACAGAGGAUGCAAGCGUUAUCCGGAAUGAUUGGGCGUAAAGCGUCUGUAGGUGGCUUUUCAAGUCCGCCGUCAAAUCCCAGGGCUCAACCCUGGACAGGCGGUGGAAACUACCAAGCUGGAGUACGGUAGGGGCAGAGGGAAUUUCCGGUGGAGCGGUGAGAUGCGUUGAGAUCGGAAGGAACGCCCGUGGCGAAAGCGGGCCCCUGGACACCACCUGACGCUGAGACGCGAAAGCCAGGGGAGCGAACGGGAUUAGAUACCCGAGUAGUCCCUGUCUCUUAUAC
rnacentral:rRNA from 1 species